rnacentral:rRNA from 1 species
UACAGAGACUGCAAGCGUUAUUCGGAUUCACUGGGCGUAAAGGGUGCGCAGGCGGCCGUGUGUGUGAGGCGUGAAAGCCCGGGGCUUAACCCCGGAAUUGCGCCUCAAACUACACGGCUAGAGCAUUGGAGAGGGUAGCAGAAUUCACGGUGUAGCAGUGAAAUGCGUAGAUAUCGUGAGGAAUACCAGAGGCGAAGGCGGCUACCUGGACAAUUGCUGACGCUCAGGCACGAAAGCGUGGGGAGCAAAAGG